CAAAACCUUCCUGAUUUUUGAUAGAAACUUAAGCAAAAAAUCUGUGAUCCAGAGCACAAAUCAAAAUAAACUGAAUAAUUGAGGCCUACAGCUCAUUUGACAUACAAACAAUCCACAAACCUGCUCAUACACCUUCUAAAAAUGUUAUUUAAUGUUGAAACUAAACAAUUGGCUAAAACACAAACCCCAUUUUAUAAUACCAGUACCAGCUCAUUCAACAUCUACCCUUACCAAUCUACUACAUGGUAUUUAAACAGUAAGAAAAAAACAAAGAGAAAGUAUGGCAAAUAUAGCCUAUAUUCCAUCGGAUUCCACUUGAUUCUCACAACCAGCAUUCAAUCAGUAUUUCUGGACUAAGGAAAUACCUGGAAAUGAAAGUAAAGGGGAUAAGAUCAGCAGUAGCAACAACAGUAUCCAGCAGCAGAAAGAAACCAUAGAAAAAUAAUAGCUUUUAACCAAAGAAUGAUGCUCAAAAAUCAAAAAUCCACAACCAGAACUUCAAACCAAGCUUUUAAACCACCAGAUUCAAAUCAUUUGAGCCCAGAUAAGUUAGAAACUAUUUCAGGAAUUAGAAACUGAAGAGAUCACAGAAAAAAUUCAAUCACACAGUGAAACGCAACCGUUUGUAUUUUUGGAUUUUUAUCUCCUAGAUCUCUCUCUUAUUCUAUCCUCCCUCUUAAACUUCUAUGUCUCUGUUUCUUUUUCUUUGGACUCUAUAUUAUGUCCGUUCUCCUUCAGUCUUUUCCUAAGCAAGCUUUAUAUAGGAUCUCUUAAGGUAGCCUAAAAUCAAUUCCCUAUUCACAAAUGCCCCUUCCUUAAUUGAUUCCACUCAAUUCUUUGCUCUUUAUUUUAUUCAAUAAUGCACUCCUAAACCUUAUCACUAUUAGAAGCUUCUUAAUUAGUUAGGUAAGGUUCACACAACCUAAAUAAUCCCUAGGCUACCCAUACAACCCCUGUUAAUUACUCAAACCUAACAAAAGGGUCAAAUUGACCCAAAGUCCUUGAGCUAUUGUCUGUGAUCCAAACCAAUUUCUGCGAUCAUAUGGAAGGCAGAAAACAAAAUCGACUACUUAAAUGGAUUCAACAUACGACUAAUUAAUAAAAACUACUAUAUGACUGAUUAAUAUCAACAAAUAAACAUGAAAUUAGUUAGGUUAUUAAAACAAACGACCUAAUUAGAUGAACUAAGUUAGCGGACUAAUAAGAAUCAUAGAAUAACUUUCACAAAAAGAAACAAAGGGGACAACUUGCAGAGAACAGUUUGAACUCAAUAGAUUGGUCGAGUUUUCAUAGGGAGUAAAAAAAUCUAACUAAAGAAAGGGAGAGGAAAAAGGAGAUGAAAUGGAUUAAAAGAAUGAAAACACUUGCCAUAGAAAUCAACAACUUGCUGUAGACCUUGAUUUAACGAGACUGAUGUUACACAUUUGUUCUUUGUCAAGAACAACUGAGCAAAAUCAGUCUUCGUCGAAUCUAAUCUUCAAAACUUUGACAGAAACAACAUCAUAUAACCAUGCAUGCCCCUAGGUUUUAUUGAGGAUAAUCUUAGACUUUUAGGGCUCGACCUCAGAUUUAAGAUUCGAGAGAUUCUGGCAAUAUUCGAGGGAAAACAAUAAUAGAUUUGGUACGAGGGAGAUAUGGGGGUUAGGUGAUGUUAAUUUGGGGUCGAUUGGGUAAGUUAGGGUUUAAGGGUCUGACUUUCGAUCCCAUAUUCGAAGAGUUCGACUGUGAUUUGAAGGUAAUGGGUUGAGGAUUCGGAACGGGGAGAUGAAGGAGAGUUGAUGGUGUGAAUUUGGGGUUGUUUGGUGGUUGCCCGUCGCCGUAGGCGAUUUCCGGUAGGCGGUCAACGGUGGUUUGAGACAGCAAUUUUAGCUGGUCUCUGAAGAGAGAUCAGAGACGAUGGAGGGGGGGGGGGGGGUUAUGAGAGGGUAAGGGGUUUGAGGUUUUAGUAUAUUAAAUUGAUGAUUUAAUUAAGGCCGUUGGAUGAUUGGAAUCCCACGGCUCUGAUUAAAUCAUUAAUGGAAAAUGGGGUCGUUUUGUUUCACUGGGGGAACCGAUUUGGUUCUGGAUCGGGUUGGGGUUUGGGAAAUUGGCGAGAAUCUGGACCGUUUGAUCAAACUAAUUCAACGGUCCAGAUUAAAACGCCUGAAACGACAUCGUUUGGAUUAAGUUGGAGACGGACCAACUAUUGGGGCAGGUCUGGGCCAAUUUUGGUUGGGUUUUGGGGACAAUUGUCAAGUUUGGCCCAAAUACAGCCUUUUCUAUUUCCUUUUAUUUUCAUUUCUUUUCCUUUCCCAAUUUCUUUAAAAUUAAACUAAAUAAAAACCUAAAUUAAUUCCUAAUCCAAAUUAUCUAAUUAAUUUAAUUAACUCUAAAUUAUGACUACCACAACUAAGUUAAGUACCAAAUUNNNNNNNNNNNNNNNNNNNNNNNNNUUUAAUUAAUUCUUAAAAAUGCAAAGUUAAAUCUUAAAUGCAAAAAAAUGCAACAUAUUUUUUUAUUUUUAAAUAAUUGAAAUAAAAUAAACAUGCACACACAAAUGUAAACAAUAACAAAAAAUGCCACAAAAAAUCCGCAAAAUUGCGAACAAUGGAAAAAAUUGUUUUGUUUUUGAAUUUAUGGGAACAAUUCAUAUAGGGGAAAAAUCACAUGCUCACAGACACUACGGACCGACUCCAGUUUUCGGAAUUCCAUUCCAACCCUGAUAUCAAGAUUUCCACUGCCGAUCGGAAAACUCUAAAUUUCUAAUUUCGCGAAUUCAAGUCUAAUUCUACCACGGACCUCCAAAUUACAUUCCGAACAUGAUCCUAAGUCCAAAAUCACCUAACCAAGCUACCCAAACCAUCAAAGUUCACAUCCAAGACCUUCUACACAUAAGUCAACAUCUGGUUGAUUUUUCCAACUUAAGCUCCUAAAUUAGAGACUAAGUGUUUCAUUCCACUCCAAGACCACUCCGAACCCGAACCAACUAAUACGAUACGAUGAAAUAUGGCUGAAUAACACAUAAAGAAGCAGAAAUGGGGGAAACAAGGCUGUAUUUCAUAAAACGACCGAUCGGGUCGUUACAAUUGUCAUCAAUCUUGGUUUCCACUUGCUUCAUUUUCCAUCAGCCCCCCGGUUCCACAUGUCACUCUAUCAUUCAAGCAUUUAUAUGAACCGAUUUUACUCUAUACAGAUAGUCCCCUUGCUUUUCGGUGGCACAUCUUUGUGUCACCGGGAAGUUGGUGAUGAAUCCUUUUUUGGAGGAAUUUUUUUUGAACCUUUCUAAAAAGUUGACGCUCGAUAAGACGCACGUCUCCUCACAUUUAAUACCCCAGAAACAUGUUACUCCAUGAUUAAGAAAUAUUUUCGUCAGUUCACGAUGUAAUCACAGACAUGUUUUUACCUCCUAUAACUUUACUUAUACGUCUCAUUCUACCUCUUUCACUUCUAACAACUUCAUAAACUCUCUCAACUUCUUUGCUUUUAGCUUCCUUCUUCUUUCAUCACUCUUCGAUCUUCCUUUAAAAACCCUUGUCACCUUCUUAGAAUUAUGGAUUCUUAUGCUAACUCUUUUAAGAACUCUGGUCUUCUCUUUGGUGGGGGCAAGAAGAGGAGCAAAGAUAAAGAGGUUGAUGUUGAUGUUGAUCCUCCCAUGGUGAGCACCAUAAUACCCAAGCAUCUCAACACAUCCAAGGACAUUGAAGAGAAGUUCCCCACUUCAAACUUUCAAACUUGGGUUGUUGAUAUCCUUCUUCUAUUUACCCUUCCAGUGUUCUUGUUGUGAAGGCGGACUAUGACUGCCACGGCCUAAACAUCAUUACUCUCGAUCUGGUGGAGUGAGUGACCUUCAUUAAGAAGGGUUUUAUACAUGUUUAGGCAUAUCCCUUCACUUUGGGUCCAUUUUCUUUAAUCAAGGGACUUGACCCGUGAUUUUGGAACUGUGCCACCGGUGCCAGGUUUGUUUCGCAUAUGUGGGCCCUUUGGUGUGGCAAAUGGCGGUCUGUCUACGACGGAUGUGCUAGGAAAUAAAGGAGCCCCUCACCUUGGCUCACAUGAUGAAUCUCUACUCCCUAAGACCUUUCGUGGGGGAGUAAUAAAUGAUAGCAAGCGUGUCCACCAUGCUUUGCUUACCAGUGUCACACCUCCUUUUUCACUACACCUACAAGGGCGUAAAGGAGUUUUUCCAAUUAAAGGACAAUCAGAACGAGAUUUAGUUAUUAUUUAUUCAGAGUCGCCACUUGGGAGAUUAAUGGUGUCCCAAAUCACUAGUUGAAUCCCGAACCGAGGAAAAUUGUGACUCUGUUAACAGUCAGCGAACCAGAAAUUUGGAUAAGGAAUUUUGUUAACCCGGGAGAAGGUGUUAGGCAUUCCCGAGCUCCGUGGUUCUAGCACGGUCGCUUAACUGUUGUAUUUGAUUUUAUCUGAUUUCAAUACAUGCUAACCUAUGUGCCUUUUAUUAAUUUUACACCGCUUUAUCGUUAUUUAUUUUAAAAGACUUGCGCCAUCGUGAAAAUACGUUUCGAACCGCGUCGCAAUCAAUGCACCCAUGGUUAUCGACACAUUUCGACUUCGUCGAGAUUUGGAUUUGGGUCGCAUCAAUGCGCACCCGAGUUUAAGAAAGUAAUUUAAUUAAAUCGCGUCUAGAGAUUUUAACGUAAUAUUAUUUUGGGGACUGUGAAAUUCGCUAAAUGGCCAUCCCAAAUUCUAAUUAUUUCGAUAAUUAUUUAUUGAGGACCCUGCAAUAUUGUAGUUUCAUUUGGCGAGGCUCGUCUCUUUAUUUUAUUGAAAGGCCAACCUAAGAGUGGCUAUGAUUUUUCUAUUAUUAAUUGUCUCUACAAAAAUAAAAAGUUCUAAUUAGCGCAAUGUAAAUUUCAGUCCUGAAAUUGGCCCAAAUCAGGCAGACCAAGUCAGACAACGUAAAUGGGCAACGGAUCGAAUCUUAUGCAUGGCGAACGAGGAAUUAGUUAAAAGUUGGCAAAAGGAAAUCACUAUGCACUUAUCAAGAUCAGCUCAGUUACCGAUGCAUUAAAUUUCAAUUCCUAAAUAUCUCCAAUGUGGAAAUCAAACAGAAAAUUAAAGCUGCCACAAUAUUAUUAAUGCAAAUCACUAUUUUUAAGACCAAUUUCAAUGGACAUGAUUAGAUAAACUAAACUACUGAAGUCAAGUGUUGAACAAAAAAUUGUAUUUUCCACCACUCACAUAGCUUAGAAACAAUGGUUGAAUUGUCUGUGGGCUUUCUUCAACUUAGCAUGAAAGUAUUUACUCCUAAAUGAAUAACAAACUGGAAGCAAUAACCUUGUUAACACACAUAGAUUAAGAAUCACAGAGUCCUACUUCCUAUAUCGUGACUAUUGACUUUGCAAAAAACAAACUCGAAUCAAUUAUGCAACAGUCCAAUGAUUUCAGUCUUAGUGACAUGAAUCGACUACCGGACAUAGGCAUCACACCAGUUUAACAUCCAACAUAUUAAACAUCACCUCAAAAAUCAAAUAAUACUUUAAACUAUGACUUCACAACAGAAGGCUUGCUUCAAUUCUGAAUCAUAUUUCCAUUGAGAUGAAGAUACAUGGUGUCAAGCUUCAGAGUAUGUACCUGGAAGCAGUAUGGAAAUGGAGGAGAAAAGGUCAGCGAGACAGCAAUUGAAUCAACAGCAAUAACCAAUAAUUUCCAGCAGUACUGAAUAACCAACAGCCUAGAAAGUUUACGAAAAAAAAAACAAAUAGAAUCAAAAUCAACACCAAAACUGCCCACGAAAGCCACACACUCAAUAAGUCAGACCACAACAAUGUCAAGCUACCAAGAAUGAACUCAGUCCUUCGUCCGUAAUCAGUAAACACUAAUACAUGAUUGGAACUGCUCUUAAUUAUCCCUGUUGCACAGAAACAAGAGAAAAGCUCGAGUAGUAUUGAUCCUGAUAUGAGUUAGAAACUUGGGAUCUGAAGCUAAUUGAAUAAAACUAAUGGAACAGUCAUGUUUCUGGGAUUUCUAGUGAUUUUGUGUUUGUUUUGGAUUUUUUGGAAGUUUUUUUUUUACUGUUUUUGAGUUUUUUUUUUGAAGAAGCUAAGAUCCGAAGGAAUUUCAGAUCUGAAAUUUGAAUUUUCAGUUCUGGAAGUUUGGAGAUUACUUUUGGGGGAAAUUUUAGGUUGCCAAAACUCU
rnacentral:lncRNA from 1 species